GUGGGCCCCGGAGGCUCCGCCUUCCCACCCGGACUGCGCCUGCGUCCCGCCCUCCUCGGCCCCGCCCCCUGCGCGCCGAACGUGGGCCCUGCUCCCUCCAUGGCUUCCGGCGAAGGGCGGUCCCCGAGGCCCUGGAGCUGCGCCCCAACGAUCACUGCUGUCAACCUGCUAACGACACCCAAGUAGAUCUACAGCAGUCAUGUUUCAGCCCAAGAGUGACUGAAGUAAAGGCAGUGUCUCUCAUUGAGAUGAAUAGCACCAGGAUCCCAGAACCCUGUAACCACUAUAGAAGCCCAAGAUGAAAGACUACUUGGAGACAGGUCCGGCUUUCCAGCUGUCACAACUGAACCCAAUUCACAGCUGACCCUACAGCUGA